GCGCUGUCUAGAGUUCCUAAGCCAACAUCGAGGUGCCAAUCCCUAUUUUUAAUAAGAACUUUCAAAUAAGAUUAGCCUGUUAUCCCUAAGGUAGCUUAUGUUAUUGAUCUUUAUAAAGGGUCAUUAUGUAGAUUAACAAAUCUUUUAUAGUAAAGGAUGAUGAAUCUGAUCCUAGGUUGCCCCAACCAAAUUAUACGAGAAUUCUUAGUCUUCUCUCUUUAAUAAAGCUCUAUAGGGUCUUCUUGUCUUUCAAUUUUAUUCGGGCUUCUUCACCCAAAAAUUAACUUUUAUAUAAUAAGAGGAGACAGAAACAAUUUCGUUAGUCCUUUCAUUCUAGCCCACAAUUAAUGGGCAAAUGAUUAUGCUACCUUUGCACGGUUAGGAUACCGCGGCCGUUAAACAAGUCAAUGUCACUGGGCAGGAAUUACCCCCUAUAA
rnacentral:rRNA from 1 species